AACAUGGAAUAUGUAUACCAUGGUGAAAUUGGAGCAAAGAACUUCAUUUAUGCUGUUGAAACAAGCCCAAGAAUAUAAGGAUGACCGUGAUGGCUUCAUGAGACAGAGGAUGGUAUAGAUUGACUCUACAGGAUAAAUGUUUACGCAUGUUUUGUCAGGAUGAUGAAUCUAAGCAAUUAAAGAAAAAAAAUGCUGGAUAAGAUGGGUGGAUCACCAAUCAGUAAGCCGUUGCAGAAAGGUUGGACCAAUGAUUUUAAAGGACAGCUAACAGGGUCAAGUUCGAAGGUUAUCUAGCAUUGGAUUGUACCAUGAAGGCUGUAGUUUUAUGGUUACCUUCAAUGCAAUAACAAAAAGUUGGUGAUGGCAAUCUUCAUAUGUUUGUGGCUGUUGCUGUCCCUUCUUACGAUCACUCAAUUGAUGAUUGUGGGCCCUCAUGCAUGAACAAGUGGACAUGACAAAUCUAUGACCGCUGCUGCUGGAAACCAUGGGCAGGAGAUGUAUCUGCAUGUCAUUGUCAGGUUGAUUUUCCAUCCAAAAAGUCACUGGCUCGGCAGAUGAUGCAGAUAUUUGUUUGGCCGUAAGUUCUUGGCAUUAGACUGAACUCAUGCUUCAAACCACUUCGCUUGGGUAUUCAUAGUUAAUGGUGCAGCUUUUAAGGUGUUAUCGAACAUUGUAUGCUACUAAAAAAAAAAAAUUACUAAGCAUGCUUUGA